rnacentral:rRNA from 1 species
GAUGAACGCUGGCGGCGUGCUUAACACAUGCAAGUCGAACGGAAAGGCCCAAGCUUGCUUGGGUACUCGAGUGGCGAACGGGUGAGUAACACGUGGGUGAUCUGCCCUGCACUUCGGGAUAAGCCUGGGAAACUGGGUCUAAUACCGGAUAGGACGAUGGUUUGGAUGCCAUUGUGGAAAGUUUUUUCGGUGUGGGAUGAGCUCGCGGCCUAUCAGCUUGUUGGUGGGGUAAUGGCCUACCAAGGCGUCGACGGGUAGCCGGCCUGAGAGGGUGUACGGCCCAAUUGGGACUGAGAUCCGGCCCAGACCCCUACGGGGGGCGGCGGGGGGGAAUUUUGCCCAAUGGGCCCAAGCCUGAUGCGGCGGCCCCGCGGGGGGGAUGCCGGCCUUGGGGUUUAAACCCCCUUCCGCUGGGGACGAAGCGUUUUUGUGGCGGUCCCUGGAGAAAAAGCCCCGGCUAACUACGU